CUUGAGAUAAUUAAUAUACUUCUCAUCUUACACAAAUGGCAACACACUUUCUACCCAACAAACACGUCUGCUCUCUGGCCUCCUCUCCUACCCUGUACCUGGGCACUUACCUCUGACCUGGACCCUCAAACCUCAACAGCCUCCAUGCAGCCUUCCUGCCUCCAUUAUUGCUCCAUCAAGUCAUCAUCCACACUGCUGCCCGAAGGAUCUUCCUGAAAACCUCGUGGGAUGUGUCCCUCCCCCACCAAAGCUCUUCACCAGCUAUUUGAAUUCAAACUUGGGCCGGACUACGAAUUUCUCCUCGGGGUGGAUUUUUCCUAUGCGUCUACCUUGUGUUUUAGAGCUGAGCCAUAAUGGGCGAGCUGAGUUCCCGACUUGUGGCUCGUUCCCUGUUGCCAAGCCUUUGUGUUGCUGGGACUCCCUCGGCCUUCGUCCACCUGGUGGACUUCCACUGAACGUCACAGAGGGUGUCUCAUCUCCUGUAAAGCCUUGGGCCUGAAGUCAAGGUCAGGGAAGGUCAAGAGGCCAAACCUGGGGUGGGAAGCAGAGAGGAGACGAGGGUGAGGCUUAGAGUGGAAGAAAAUGGGCAGUGGUCUCCUCUGUCAUUGUUUCACAUGCAAAAUGGGGCUGUGAAUGCUGCCAGGCCAUCAAGAGGGCCUUGACGAGUAAAAUGCUCAUUUAGUCCUCCGUGGUCCCUUCUCAUCCUCCUUUCUCACAGCGUGUCAGCAUUCAUCACAGGCCACUCGGGCAUUAGGCUUUUUACUCGUGUGUGUGUGUGCAAGCACAUGUGCAAGGUUUGGCAACCUGGAUUCGUCAACUAGCAAAAAAUCCCUUGAAAUGCUCUGGCUUCAGAGAACGCUGUGCAACUACCUUCUAUUGGGCUUUCUUUGACAGUGUUUAUCAACAGGUUCUUUAAAUGACUGUGGCUUCCAGUCUCCUGGGUACCUCCUUGCACAGAGAAGAGCUGAAAGGUCAUUAAAGUAUGUUCCUAUACAUGAGUAGGGACAGGAAUAUUACACUCAUGGAGGUGGGCUUCUCCCUUCCAGCUCCCUUCAGGGGAUGCUCGAUGACACAUGGUGUUAAGUCGUUUGAAGAAACGCGAGGCUUCCACACUGUGAGCAGAGCUGAGCUGUUCCC
rnacentral:lncRNA from 1 species